GUCAAAGCAAGCUUUGACGCUCCAGUUUAUUGGGGGACUACGUUAGCUAGGAAUAUAUAGGCACCACGGGAUUAGCUAAGUCCCGUACUCUGCGGGGCGUGACUAAUCACCGCUGAGGGGUAGGCGAAGUGUUACGGCUGAAAACCCUAGCUAACAUUAGGUAACCGUUCACCCAACCCCUAACCCCUCUCCCACAUGGAGAAGUGAAUCUUACUCCCAUUCUCCAUAGUAGGGA
rnacentral:sRNA from 1 species